rnacentral:misc_RNA from 1 species
GAUGAAGAACGCAGCGAAUUGCGAUAAGUAAUGUGAAUUGCAGAUUUUCAGUGAAUCAUCGAAUCUUUGAACGCACAUUGCGCCCCUUGGUAUCCCGAGGGGCAUGCCUGUUCGAGCGUCAUUUCACCACUCAAGCCUGGCUUGGUGUUGGGCGACGUCCCCUUUGGGGACGCGCCUCGAAACGCUCGGCGGCGUGGCACCGGCUUUAAGCGUAGCAGAAUCUUUCGCUUUGGAAGUCGGGGCCCCGUCUGCCGGAAGACCUACUCGCAAGGUUGACCUCGGAUCAGGCAGGGAUACCCGCUGAACUUAAGCAUAUCAAUAAGCGGAGGA